rnacentral:rRNA from 1 species
GACGGGGGGGCAAGUGUUCUUCGGAAUGACUGGGCGUCAAGGGCACGUAGGCGGUGAAUCGGGUUGAAAGUGAAAGUCGCCAAAAAGUGGCGGAAUGCUCUCGAAACCAAUUCACUUGAGUGAGACAGAGGAGAGUGGAAUUUCGUGUGUAGGGGUGAAAUCCGUAAAUAUACGAAGGAACGCCAAAAGCGAAGGCAGCUCUCUGGGUCCCUACCGACGCUGGGGUGCGAAAGCAUGGGGAGCGAACAGG